GACGUCAGAGCGCCGGGUCGCGGGGACUUCCAGAGCCUGACACCGCUGAAGAAGACCUGGUGUUCGGACAGCGCUUUCCCUUUCCCACUCGGCUCGGAGCCAAGCGCCACCUCUCCUCGCUCAUCCGAGAACUUUGAACCCCGCCCUGAACGCAAGGUGAUCGGCGCAGAGACAAGAGGGCAAAGCAGUUGUGCGCAUUCUCGAUUUUAUUUCAUUGUUGACCCGGCCGCGGCGCGAGAGCCGCGCGCCCUCCUUUGAGGGGAAGCCGAAGGCAGGAACUCGAGGACUUGAGAAGGUGUCUGAAGUAUAUGGAGGCUACCAGGGCAACCACCACAGGUACAACUUUGUCAAAGUACUCCAAAGGGUGUCUCUACUAUGGGCUUCCUUCCUUCCCAAGCUGCUCUCCCUGCUUGCUCCAUGCCUUGCACAAGGCCUGGGAAGAAGGGGUUGGUUCCCUGCCAUCCUUCCUGCCCAGACUCACCAUUAGCCCUUCCACGAUCCCGAAGUGUUCGUGAAUAACCUUGGCAAGGGGAGCCAGGCAGUUGGUGGUACAGGAUGCAUUGCUGAAAUGGCCAUAGCAUGCCAGAUGAGUGGCAGAGUCACCCCUUCUCCACUACUCUUACUUUACCAGUCCUCUGGGUGUUCCCAGGGAAGGGCCACAUGUCUCAUGUGAAAACCACCUCCCUCUCUCAGGUAACACUAGUUCAGAUUCCAAUACUGCUGUGGAGCGGAUCACAGCCCCAUGUGACUCCAGCUCCAGGGUUGCUGGCAACGUCAUCUGGCCUCCAUAAGUACCUGUGUGGUCCCACAUUCUGUGUUUCCUCUUGGGGGUGUCUGGACUCUGACAUCUGGAGUGGGUGGGGUCUGCAGUCUGCCUUUUCCCUCCAGGGCAUCAGAUGCCCCUGCACACCAGGGUGGGAGGGGUGAAGCAGGGUCAGGGAAGAAUAUUAUGGUUCUGUGUCUUCUACUGUCUUCUUCCGGGUUGGGGGGCGCGGUUCUCCAGGAAUCUUAGUGCUGUGACUCUUAGGCAAAGGCCUUCUCUGACUGUCUUUAAUGAAGCGGCUCUCUGAGAUG
rnacentral:lncRNA from 1 species